GACAGGGGUCUCGAGCGUUAAUCGGAAUCACUGGGCUUAAAGGGUGCGUAGGCGGGCCUGUAAGUGUCCUGUGAAAUCCCCCGGCUCAACCGGGGAACUGCGGGGCAUACUGCGGGUCUUGAGGAAGGUAGGCGCCGAGGGAACAGUAGGUGGAGCGGUGAAAUGCGUAGAUAUCUGGAGGAACACCGGUGGCGAAGGCGGCAUCCUGGACCAAUUCUGACACUGAGGAGCGAAAGCCAGGGGAGCAAACGGG
rnacentral:rRNA from 1 species